AUUAGUAAUGGUUACUUUUCUUCCUUUGAAAUACUUAUGCCUGGAUAGACCUAGUGGGUAAGUCGGCGAGGUCGGAUGCCGAGCCCACUGGGAACUUCGUUGUAGUUCUCACACCACUAACCCUACAGGUCCUAGCAUGAGCGGGGCGGCGGAGGACCGAGGCAAGGGUUUGGCGCCGUAGGUAGCGGCCACCGGGGACUUUAUGCAUUUUGUAGUCAUUCCCUUUUGUUAUACAUGUAUCAACUUUAUUUUGUUGAUUUAGGUAUGUAAAGUGAAAACAAUCAUGUAAUUGGUGGAUGACUAAAUGUAAAAAGAUAUGAUGGUUGAAUGGAAUGUAAUAUUAUUACUUACUUGAAUUUGGUUCAAAAGAAAUCAAAUAUCACGUGUGUUGUAUAUUUAGCUUAGAACUUUCGCUUCCGUUGUUGCUUGCCCUCGAGUAAGCCUUGUAUUAUAUAUGCAAUUCUCUUGUUAAUUGCCUAAUUAUAUGUGUUGUUAGAGCCUUGGGCGGACAGGGGAGGCUCUGUCCGUUCGGCGUCUGUUGACGUGACCCAAACCCGAC
rnacentral:lncRNA from 1 species